AUGAGAGUUUGAUCCUGGCUCAGGAUGAACGCUGGCGGUGUGCCUAAUACAUGCAAGUUGAGCGGGGCUUCAGCAAUGGAGCCUAGCAGCGGACGGGUGAGUAACACGUAGGUAACCUGCCUUUAAGCCUGGAAUACCCGAGAGAAAUCUCGGCUAAUGCCGGAUAUGUGAUUGAGAGACAUCUCUCAGUCAUGAAAGGGGCAAUUGCUCCACUUUUAGAUGGACCUGCGGCGCAUUAGUUAGUUGGUGAGAUAACAGCCCACCAAGACGAGGAUGCGUAGCCGACCUGAGAGGGUGAUCGGCCACAAUGGAACUGAGACACGGUCCAUACUCCUACGGGAGGCAGCAGUAGGGAGUUUUCGGCAAUGGGGGAAACCCUGACCGAGCAACACCGCGUGAGUGAUGAAGGUCUUCGGAUUGUAAAACUCUGUUGUGUGGAAAAAAUGAUAGGUAGAGUGGAAAGCUACUUAUUUGAUGGUACCACACCAGAAAGCCACGGCUAACUACGUGCCAGCAGCCGCGGUAAUACGUAGGUGGCAAGCGUUAUCCGGAAUUAUUGGGCGUAAAGAGUGAGCAGGCGGUUAUUUAAGUCUGAAGUCAAAUGCUAUGGCUUAACCAUAGUACGCUUUGGAAACUGGGUAACUAGAGUGCGAGAGAGGUAAGCGGAAUUCCAUGUGUAGCGGUGAAAUGCGUAGAUAUAUGGAGGAACACCAGUGGCGAAGGCGGCUUACUAGCUCGUAACUGACGCUCAGUCACGAAAGCGUGGGUAGCAAAUAGGAUUAGAUACCCUAGUAGUCCACGCCGUAAACGUUGAGAGCUAAGUGUUGGGGCAACCCAGUGCUGAAGUUAACACAUUAAGCUCUCCGCCUGGGAAGUACGCUCGCAAGAGUGAAACUUAAAGGAAUUGACGGGGGCCCGCACAAGCAGUGGAGCAUGUGGUUUAAUUCGACGCUACGCGAAGAACCUUACCAAGAUUUGACAUACGAUUAAAGGCCCUAGAAAUAGGGAGAUAGUUAUAGUCGAUACAGGUGGUGCAUGGUUGUCGUCAGCUCGUGUCGUGAGAUGUUGGGUUAAGUCCCGCAACGAGCGCAACCCUUAUCCUUAGUAGCCAGCAGUUCGGCUGGGCACUCUAGGGAGACUGCCAGGGAUAACCUGGAGGAAGGUGGGGAUGACGUCAAAUCAUCAUGCCCCUUAUGACUUGGGCUACACACGUGCUACAAUGGCGUAAACAAAGGGAAGCGGAGCCGUGAGGCCGAGCAAAUCUCAAAAAUAACGUCUCAGUUCGGACUGUAGUCUGCAACCCGACUACACGAAGCUGGAAUCGCUAGUAAUCGCGAAUCAGCAUGUCGCGGUGAAUACGUUCUCGGGCCUUGUACACACCGCCCGUCAAACCAUGGGAGUUGGUAAUGCCCGAAGCCGGUGGCAUAACCCUUCGGGGAGUGAGCCGUCGAAGGCAGGACCGAUGACUGGGGUUAAGUCGUAACAAGGUAUCCCUACGGGAACGUGGGGAUGGAUCACCUCCUU
rnacentral:rRNA from 1 species